UACGUAGGGCGCAAGCGUUAUCCGGAAUUAUUGGGCGUAAAGAGCUCGUAGGCGGUUUGUCGCGUCUGCCGUGAAAGUCCGGGGCUCAACUCCGGAUCUGCAGUGGGUACGGGCAGACUAGAGUGUGGUAGGGGAGACUGGAAUUCCUGGUGUAGCGGUGGAAUGCGCAGAUAUCAGGAGGAACACCAAUGGCGAAGGCAGAUCUCUGGGCCGUAACUGACGCUGAGGAGCGAAAGCAUGGGGAGCGAACAGG
rnacentral:rRNA from 1 species